UGCCACACUUGGAUCUGGGUUGCAAGCUUGCAGGAUGCUUUGUAGGGGCCAGCUGAGUGACAGGAAGCCAUGGUUUGAUUGCAGGACCUCGGGCCCCUCUGUCACCCAGUGUGUUCCUGGUGAGGAGUCAGGAUGCUGUGGCCUGCUUGGUCAGUGACUUUUAUCCCAAGGAACUUCAUGUGUCUCUGGCCUUCCCUAAGACCUCAGUCUCAGCCCAGGCCCUCACUGUGACUCCCACAGCCCAUGGCACCUACAGCGCCAUCCAGAUUGGCAGGGUUGGUGAGAAUGACUCAGUAACCUGCUCAGUGCAGCACCUUGGGAAAGAGACCCUUCUGUCCCAUCAGUCAGUUUCAGACACUGGGAUCCCCCUUCAGCUAAAACCAACCUUCCACUACCAGGAACUCACAGGAGAAUCAGGACCUAAGCAGCAGAACCAGGUGCUUCUCAGAUUGCUGGGCUUGAGACUGCUAUUGAUGAAGACCCUGGCUAUCAACAUUCUUUUCACCGCCAUGUUCUUGAUCUUUUGAUCUUCCUUCCAUUCCAUGGGAUGGAAUGCCAAAUUAUUCCAUAAUUCUUGUUUGUUAUGUAUUCCCUCAUAUUUCCAACCAUCUAUCCUUCCAAUUUCUCAUCUUAUUUUCUUUUUUCUCAGUCUCCUCUCUGUCCCUUUCUCUCUGCCCACCCUAACCUCAUUAUGCCUAUUCCCCUAGGGAUUUCAUAGUUUCCUCUCUACUUUUAUUUCCUCUGUUCUCUUAGAUAAUUCUUUAUUUUCCAAGUCUCCUCUUUAGCCUGUUAUUCUGUCUGUCUCUAUAGUGUCCCUUCUGUGGGGUGGAAAAGGUGAAGUUUGGUCUCUGGCCUCCUGACUUGACUUCUAAUGUUUGCUUUCCCAGAAGCCUGGGAAACUCUGGGAGACACAAUUCGGACCUUGGCAUGACCAUUUGAGCCCUAGAAUGAUUCUAGUGAUUCCAGUAUGAGAUUCAGAGUAGUAUUUCUUCAGUUUUUAAUCCCUUGAAAUAGCCUAGGAUUUUCCUUUCUUUGGAUAUCAGGAUAUAAAAGUAGAAAUAAGUCAGAGUGUGUUUGUGGUCAGAUAGUCACAGCCCAAGUUCCCCAGGUUUCUAUAGUUUGGGGAGCAGAAACACUUUCCCCUACUAUCUUUUCCCUAUAUGAAGCUUAUUUUGGGGAUAUUACAGCUUCCAUUUCAUGUUUGUGGGAUUAUGACCAUGUAGGCUGCUUGAAGCCAGUAGGGCCAUGUCAAGUGACAGAAAGUAGGCUUUGAAAGUUGAGGACCUGUGGGGAAGAAAGCCAGCCUCACCUUCCAGUGCCUACCUUUUCUUACUGUAUCCCUGGGGAGGCCACUAUCCUUCAUUCUUAUAGUUGAGGAAGAAAUCACAGGGGGAAGGGUCUUAAUUUCCAUCAGGAUAGAUGUUUGUCUGUGGGGGGCCCUGGACCUGAACCUCCUGGAGUGAGUGAGGACUCCUUUGUGCCAGGACCCACCCUAACCCAGGAUUCCUUGAUUACCACGGGCUGAAGUGGUGGAACCUGGCCCGUGGCAGGGGAGGCACAGAAAGGAUGGGCUCCUCCUUCGGGGAGGGAUUGGGGAGGAGUCUCUGCCCCGAUUGAUGAAUGACAGGUGGAGGGAAAAGGACUAUAAAAAGAAUGGACACGGGAUGGUUUGCAGGAGACACGGCUGACUUGUAACAUCAAUAAACAUCACUGUUCUAUCAA